AAGCAAAGCGGCGGCGUGGAGCAAAACCCUAAAAGCAGUCUCAGUUCGGAUCGCAGGCUGCAACUCGCCUGCGUGAAGUUGGAAUUGCUAGUAAUCGCGGAUCAGCAUGCCGCGGUGAAUACGUUCCCGGGCCUUGUACACACCGCCCGUCACACCAUGGGAGCCGGUAAUACCCGAAGUCAGUAGUCCAACCUCGUGAGGACGCUGCCGAAGGUAGGAUUGGCGACUGGGGUGAAGUCGUAACAAGGUAGC
rnacentral:rRNA from 1 species